GCAGUAGUCUAGUGUGAGGGAUUUAGGAGGGGAAACAGUGUUGCAGUAGUCUAGUGUGAGGGGUUAUGGCAGGGGAAACGGUGUUGCAGUGGUCUAGUAUGAGGGGUUAUGGCAGGGGAAACGGUGUUGCAGUAGUCUAGUGUGAGGGGUUAAGGCAGGGGAAAAGGAUUUGCAGUAGUCUAGUGUGAGGGAUUAUGGCAGGGGAAACGGUGUUGCAGUAUUCUAGUGUGAGGGAUUAUGGCAGGGGAAACGGUGUAGCAGUAGUCUAGUGUGAGGGUUUAUGGCAGGGGAAAAGGAUUUGCAGUAGUCUAGUGUGAGGGAUUAUGGCAGGGGAAACGGUGUUGCAGUAUUCUAGUGUGAGGGGUUAUGGCACGGGAAAAGGUUUUGCAGUAGUCUAGUAUGAGGGGUUAUGGCAGGGGAAACGGUUUUGCAGUAGUCUAGUGUGAGGGAUUAUGGCAGGGGAAACGGUGUGGCAGUAGUCUAGUGUGAAGGAUUAUGGCAGGGGAAACAGUGUUGCAGUAGUCUAGUAUGAGGGGUUAUGGCAGGGGAAACGGUGUUGCAGUGGUCUAGUGAGAGGAGUUAUGGCAGGGGAAACGGUGUUGCAGUGGUCUAGUGAGAGGAGUUAUGGCAGGGGAAACGGUGUUGCAGUAGUCUAGUGUGAGGGAUUAUGGCAGGGGAAACAGUGUUGCAGUAGUCUAGUGUGAGGGAUUAUGGCAGGGGAAACGGUGUUGCAGUAGUCUAGUGUGAGGGAUUAUGGCAGGGGAAACAGUGUUGCAGUAGUCUAGUGUGAGGGAUUAUGGCAGGGGAAACAGUGUUGCAGUAGUCUAGUGUGAGGGGUUAUGGCAGGGGAAACGGUGUUGCAGUGGUCUAGUAUGAGGGGUUAUGGCAGGGGAAACGGUGUUGCAGUAGUCUAGUAUGAGGGGUUAUGGCAGGGGAAACAAUGUUGCAGUAGUCUAGUGUGAGGGGUUAUGGCAGGGGAAACAAUGUUGCAGUAGUCUAGUGUGAGGGGUUAUGGCAGGGGAAACGGUGUUGCAGUAGUCUAGUGUGAGGGGUUAUGGCAGGGGAAACGGUGUUGCAGUGGUCUAGUGUGAGGGGUUAUGGCAGGGGAAACAGUGUUGCAGUGGUCUAGUAUGAGGGGUUAUGGCAGGGGAAACGGUG
ensembl:lncRNA